UUCAUCCGUAUAGGCGAAGUUCUGGAGUUCUUAGAUAUUGUUUAAUCACGCAAAGCUCUCAAUAACUAAUGAAUUCUGCAAAGAUGUUUUCGAUUUCACAUAUUAUGUUUUCUUUGGUAUGUAGGUGGAAACAUUCGUCCAAUUUGGUGUGGUAUUUAUGUGCUUCACAUUGGGUCUAGAAUUCUCCACUGCUAAGGUGAGAUCAACGUCUUUUGUUUACUUGAAAGUUAUUUUUUUGGUGUAAUGUUUACUUGAAAGUUUAGCAUACGUGGUUAAGAUCAGUUGCUGUUCUGGGAGGCCUUCUUCAAAUUUCUUCUUUUCAUCUUCUUGGGCGGAAGCACAGUGUUGGUGAGUCCUUUACACGUGAACCAAAAGAGACUGUUUGUAUGGAGCAGGGAAUAUAUGAAGACAGUUGAGCCUUUUCUGUUCCUUAAGUUUUUGUUUUAAGAAUAUCGAUGAACUUCAAUCUCAAUUGGUUCACUUAUGCGUCUAUUACUUGGAAGUUAUUAUAUGAUGUUCCUGUUUGUGGC
rnacentral:lncRNA from 1 species